rfam:Blastocystis hominis, Singapore isolate B (sub-type 7) whole genome shotgun sequence assembly, scaffold_7
GCGUCAAUGGUCUAAUGGUUAGGAUUCUACCCUUCCAAGGUAGAGGUCCGGGUUCAAUUCCCGGUUGACGCA